AUGGCGGAGCCCCGCCGGCGUGCUCCUGGAGAUGCAGCCCCUCCUUACGAUGCUUUUGAUGGUCUUUUCUCGGUUGAGAUACAUCACAAAGGUUUCUUUUGUGGAACUGACAACAACAACACCUACAUGGAUUAUGAAGUUGCAUGGUUUGACAACUGUGACAGUGAUACAUGGUCCUUGUUAUGGAUUGAUGACUUUUUGCAGCAGCUAGGUUAUGACAGAGAUUGUUUGAAGCUUGAUGUGUACUGGUGUCAGCCUGGAAAGACAUUGGUUGAUGGGCUAAGAAAUUUGACAUGUGAUGCAGAUAUCCUUGCAAUGAUAGCAGCAACUACAGAGCACAAGAACUUGUUGCUGAUUGUAGACCAUGGAGAGAGACUUGACAGUGCUCUCAGAGAUGAUAUUUUACUUGAUGGAGUUCCUGUACUUUCAAAGGUCAUUACUCCAGGAAAAGAAAGCAAGGGAAAAGAGCAAUAUAGCUGCCCCGAGGAGAGAAGUGUGCCAAAUAAGAGGAGGUCUAGGAGGUUAUUUGUGGAAGGUUCAUCCUCAGGUUGUGCUGAUGAAGAAUUGGAGGAACAAGAUGGAGUAAAUGCAGCUGAAUCAGAGACAGAUGAGGAUUUCUAUGAUAGUGACUAUGACAUAGAAGAUGGGGAUGACGAUCUCUAUGUAAAAAAUGUUGACAAAGAAGUGGAUGAUCAUAGAGAGAAGGACACAGCUUGUGACUAUGAAGCAGAGUUAGCAGAGGAUGCUCUAGAUGAUUCACACUUACAUUUGUCCAAUGAAAAAAGGGAGAAGUUGAAGUACCACUUCAAGGGAUUUAAUCUAGAAACUGAUUUGAAUAACCCUAUUUUGAAGCUUGGACAGGUUUUUGGUAAUGUGCAGGAGCUGAGACAUGCUAUUACAUCGUAUAGCAUUAGAAACAGAGUUCAAGUGAAGAAGACAAGGAACACAUCCAAGAAAAUAAUAGCUGUGUGCAGUGGUGAGUGCCCGUGGUAUCUCAUGGCAAGCAAGGACAACAGAACAUCCAGUUUUGUUAUUAAAAAGUACUGUGAUGAGCACACUUGUACUAAAGCCUGGAAUCUCAAGGGAUUGACAGCUCCGUUUCUCACUAGAAAAUUCAAAGACAAGUUCAGGGACAAUGAGAAGAUGUCGUUGAAGAAAUUUUUAGAGAAGGUGCAAACAGAGUACAACCUCAUACCAACCAGGAGC
rnacentral:rRNA from 1 species